UGGUGGAGUGAUUUGUCUGGUUAAUUCCGAUAACGAACGAGACUCUGUCCUGCUAACUAGGUUGUGUUUUCUCGGGUUGGUGUUUCUGGUGUUCCUUCUCGGGGCGCCGGCCCAAUCCACUUGUGAACACAACACUCUUCUUAGAGGGACUGGCGGCUGUUAGCCGCACGAGAUAGUGCAAUAACA
rnacentral:rRNA from 1 species